rnacentral:lncRNA from 1 species
CACAGCGUCACUCACUGCCCUGUCUAGAGAGGCCGACCCCUGGAGCACACGAGGUCUGUGGUGUCCUGCAACACGUCACCCAAGCAGUGACCCUGUCCUCCCCAACAGUGCCUGCAGGGACACCCCUGGAGACGGGGUCAGCCCACUAGGGAGAGGGGUGAGGGCAUCCGGGGAGUCAGCUCCAAUUUGAUCUACAUCCCCCCAGGGAGGCCUCAGCCUUGUCUCCAGCCCUGGCCCAGAGAGGCCCAGAGAGGUGCCCAAGCACGCAGAGCUGGUGUGCGGCCACCUGGCGCAGCCUGGCCACUCUGCUCGUACCAGCUGCCUUUCUCCCUGGAGGGUUCUGGCUCUGAGCCUUCUGUGCCAGGAGGCCCACUCCCCUGGGCAGGUGUCCACGUGAGAGUUGGCAUGGGCGCAGCCCGCUGUGCCUGGCCACGGGUGGCGGGUCAGGAAGGAGAGCGCCCUCCCUAGACCAGCCCUUUCAGAAAUUCUUGAGCCACCCCUGAGAACUCUCACCACCGGGAGCAUUUAUGGAGCACCAGCUGUAUGCAGAGCCCUUCCCCGGCCCAGCCCGUCCUGCGCCACAGCGUGCCAAGGCGCCACCCCCGUCUCCAAUCACUCGGCUCAUUGUGGAGCUUCGCUUUGUUCGCUGGGUUAGCGCCGCCUGCUCAGCUCCGCGCCUGCUAUUUUGGCUCACAACAUUUAUAAAAAUGCAUCCGAAGCCCUGCGCGCAAUCGGGAGCUAACCUGCCGCGUCCUCCACGAGGCUCCUGAAUACUAACUGAGAGUGAUUAAUCACAUCCAGGCUGGGCUCCCCGCGGCCACCCCUGCUCUCCCACUCUCCCUGGCGGGCUGAGGACAGCGGGACUGGGUGCGUGUGUGGGUGUGCGUGCACACACGUGUGCGUGUGUGUCAGGGCUGGGCUGCUUCCAGUUCCCCUCUGAUUUUCAUGGCGGGGAGCCUGGAGGCCUGAGCCCAGAGGCUGCGCUCUGGUCAGGUCUGGUCAGGUCCGACCCUCGCCUAGCCUCCGUUCCUCCUCUAAAAGCUGGGGCUGGUGGCCCUGGGGACUUUGGCUCGGGCCCCCCAGGUUCAGGUCAGACUCCCCUGACGGCCGUGGAGGCCUGGGGCCCACACCAGGUCCUGCCUGCUGGCCUGGCCCCACACUGCUGCCCAGCUCCAGGGCUCUGCGCAGGCCGGCUCCUCCGGGCAGCCUGCAGGGCCCUCUCUUCUCCCUCGGCCCCCCGCUGGUCCCUGCGGCAGACGUCCGGAGGCCCUGUCCCCACAGAGCACCACAGCACCUGCAUCUUCUGGAGGGAGACAGCACCCGGGGCCCCACCCUGCCAAGCCUGAGCUUCAGCACGGAGCCCAGAUACUCCGGACGAGUCUCUGUGGUCAGGGGCAGGGCUGGGCACCCGGAGGCCAGGCCAGCAUGAGUGAGAACCAGUGGUGGGCCAGCGGCCAGACGGAGAGCACAGCUGGCCUAGACUGUGCCAGAGGGGCCUCCAAGAGCCCUGCAGGGCUCAGGGAAGGACACAGGAUGGGGGAGGACCUGAGGGGACCCGGAGGGCCUCGGAGGGCCGAGAGCUGCCACCUGGGUCAUUGAGACCCCAUUUCUGUGCCAAGUGCAGACAGGCGCCCCAGGCUGGGCUCCCUGCGAUGACCGGGAGCAGGAGGCAACCCAGGAGGGUCAGCGGGGCCCACGGCACCAGGCCCCGCGCUGCUCCUGCCCGUCUCCACGGCACAGGACCGCCACAAGGUACCUCAUCACUAGACUCUGAAAUUGUGCCAGAAGCACACCCUCUGAGGCGGGUCCCCUCUUUUACAUUCUUCCUUGACGUUUGCAUGACAGCGAACAGAACCAGCAGCAAGGAGGAGGCCCGCCGCCCAGAGGGAGCCUGACCUCGCGCAGCCCCACGCGCUCCCCUUGGUGGACAGGAAGCGACUGGCCAAGGGCCACUGCUGGGGUUUCCACUGGAGAGAAAGAGAGCUGCCCCCAGGGCGUGUGCCCAACAGGACUGGUGUGACUCCAGGGGGUGAGGCCAGCAGGGCCACCGGCCAGCCACCCCCAGGGCACUGGGCCUCAGGAGGGGGCCUCCGUUCAGCCACAGUCAAGGCCAGCACACCCAGGGAGGCAGGGAACACACUGCCCAUUUGCAGAUGGAGGACACUGGACUUCAGCUGCAGCCUUGGAGUCCCAGCCCGCGGGCCUCCGUUCACCCCCCCUGAGGCACCCUAGGCUGAGUCGGGAGGAGCUGAUCCAGCAGGUGAGGGCCCCCCAGGCUCAGGGACGCAGUCACGGCAUGUCAGGUGGGUCUGCUGGAGCUCACAGGGCCCCGCCCGUGGCCAACGGUCUGGAGGUGACGUCCCAGGCACUGAGCAGACCCCACGAGGGGCGUGGGCCAGCAGCACAGUCUCUCCUUGUCUCUCGGGAGUCCCCUGGGCCCACAGAGUCCACCAAGCUGGGACUGGACGGACCAUCGGACUUGAUCCUUCCCAUUGUCCCCAAGGCAGGACACCACUCUUCAGUGGCGUCUGUUUACGAGGCACUAGAGAUGACCUGCAGACGGACGGGCCAGAGGCCACAGGGGACGCGCACAGGCACACGGGACGGAGCGUUUCCAGGGAGCGGUGCUGGGGGUGGGAGGAGGCUCUGGCCACACACCCAGGACGCCAAGGCAUGCUGUGUGGGACCGUGACUUUUCCUGUUCCUUUGAAUUCUGUGUGGGACAAGGCAGCUGGCGCCCCCAGGUCAGCCGCCUGGGGAAGAAGUGGCACCCACCAGGCAUCCCCAGGAGGUGGGGGUCUCUGCCCUUCCUUCCUGCCCUGUCCAGGCCUGGUCUUUGAGGGGCCUCACGUCACUCGACCAUGGCCUGGAGGUGCCCGUGGUGGGCAGUGCCACCAACACCAACCCUCAGCCCAGUUGCACCAGGAAGUCCCCUUGAGCCCCAUUUCCAGGCCCCUCAGGGACACUGGCUGGGCUGGGCUGGGCGAGGCUGGUGCUGGGUUUGGUCAAAGUGGCAGGAAAUGACAUGUCCAGCCAGAAUUGAGAAGCCCCCCGGGACUCUCAGGACCCCAACUCUCUUCAGUGUGGUGCUUCCUCCGGGGGAGGGAAGGCCUGGGGUGGACAGGACUGUGUGACCCCAGGGCUGGUAGCCCCAUGCACCUGGGCCCUUGUCAGCACCCCAGGCCUGUGGCCCCUCCCAGGCUCCCCACGCCUGGUCCUCUCUGAAGCCAGGGGGCAGAGUGGACAGAGCAGCAGGUCCUUGCGGCUCGGCCAGUGACUACUGAAGGACAGCCGCAGGGUGUGAGGUGGGAGGGGUGUCCAGCGCUGCAUGUGGACAGUCUGGGUGGAACUGUGUUGAGCGCCAGCUUCCCUAGAGCCUGGCCUGGCACUGCCCGGUGCCCAGCCUCC